UACGUAGGGGGCAAGCGUUGUCCGGAUUUAUUGGGCGUAAAGCGCUCGCAGGCGGUCCGAUGCGUCGUGCGUGAAAGACCCCGGCUCAACUGGGGAGGGUCGUGCGAUACGGUCGGACUCGAGGCCAGUAGGGGGACGCGGAAUUCCGGGUGUAGUGGUGGAAUGCGUAGAGAUCCGGAGGAACACCAGCGGCGAAGGCGACUACCUGGCCUGUUCUUGACGCUGAGGCGCGAAAGCUAGGGGAGCAAACGGG
rnacentral:rRNA from 1 species